AAUAUAUCCCCCCAAUAUUCCUAUGAGAUCUGCACAUAUUGUAAAUAUAGGAAACAUUAUGAUGGAUGCUAAGAUCCUUGGUGCAAUUAAGUAUUUAAAAGGAUUAAUAUUCAAAGUUAUUAGAGCAUCUAUCUGCUCGGUAAUGCGCAUUGUGCCAAUUUCGGCUGCAAUUGAUGAUCCAGCUUUUCCUAGCAUUAUUAAGCUGAUUAAAACUGGUCCUAAUUCUUUUAGAAUAGUGAUUGUCACAAUUUUGGGCACGAUUUGUUCUUGAUUAAUUAAUGGGCCACUCAAGCUACUUUGCAAGACUAUUACUGCUCCUAUAAAAAUUCCAGUUAACCCAACAAUUGGUAGAGAAAAGAAGCCUAUCUCUAUAAUUUGCUUUAUUAUAUUGUUGAAAUAGUAUGGCGGUACAAAACAGUGAUACAGAGAUUGAAUAAAAAAUAUGAAUGCGUUACCUAGCUUUAAGAAAAAGUUAAUGAAAUAUCUACCAAUUAUUCUAACGCUAUUGAUAUAAAAAAAAUUCACCUAAUUUAU